CCUACGGGAGGCAGCAGUGAGGAAUAUUGGUCAAUGGACGAGAGUCUGAACCAGCCAAGUAGCGUGAAGGAGGACUGCCCUAUGGGUUGUAAACUUCUUUUAUAUGGGAAUAAAAUGUUCCACGUGUGGGAUUUUGCAUGUACCAUAUGAAUAAGGAUCGGCUAACUCCGUGCCAGCAGCCGCGGUAAUACGGAGGAUGCGAGCGUUAUCCGGAUUUAUUGGGUUUAAAGGGAGCGUAGGUGGGUUGUUAAGUCAGUUGUGAAAGUUUGCGGCUCAACCGUAAAAUUGCAGUUGAAACUGGCAGUCUUGAGUUGAGUAGAGGUGGGCGGAAUUCGUGGUGUAGCGGUGAAAUGCUUAGAUAUCACGAAGAACUCCGAUUGCGAAGGCAGCACGCUGGACUGCAACUGACACUGAGGCUCGAAAGUGUGGGUAUCAAACAGGAUUAGAUACCCGAGUAGUC
rnacentral:rRNA from 1 species